rnacentral:rRNA from 1 species
GACGAACGCUGGCGGCGUGCCUAAUACAUGCAAGUCGAGCGAGGCUCUUCGGAGUCUAGCGGCGGACGGGUGAGUAACACGUUGGCAACCUGCCUGUAAGACUGGGAUAACACCGGGAAACCGGUGCUAAUACCGGAUAAUCCUUUUCCUCUCAUGAGGAAAAGCUGAAAGUCGGUUUCGGCUGACACUUACAGAUGGGCCCGCGGCGCAUUAGCGAGUUGGUGAGGUAACGGCUCACCAAGGCGACGAUGCGUAGCCGACCUGAGAGGGUGAUCGGCCACACUGGGACUGAGACACGGCCCAGACUCCUACGGGAGGCAGCAGUAGGGAAUCUUCCACAAUGGACGAAAGUCUGAUGGAGCAACGCCGCGUGAGCGAUGAAGGCCUUCGGGUCGUAAAGCUCUGUUGUUAGGGAAGAACAAGUACCGGAGUAACUGCCGGUACCUUGACGGUACCUAACCAGAAAGCCACGGCUAACUACGUGCCAGCCGCCGCCGUAAUAC